rnacentral:rRNA from 1 species
AUGUACAUGCCUACAACAUAGCGUUAAUGCACCAGAUCCCAUUAGAACUCCAUAGUUAAGCAUGCUCAGGCUAGAGUAGUACUGGGAUGGUUGAUCGCCAGGGAAGUUUUGGUGUUUUACAUU